GCCUUUGGCCCUCCAGAGCAGGAUGGUAAGGACUAAGUGCCGGGUUUUCGCGGCCGUAGCUGUUCCCCUGUGGUCCAUUAAAGCUGCGGGAGGGGUGGGGUCACGAUCAAGCCGCAGGGACCAUGCGCACUGGGGGAAGUGGAAGAAGGCCAGACUUUCCUAACCUGCCCAUUCCUUUCAACCUGCAGGAUCCCAGCCGCCGGAGAUGGGCGCCCGGCCCUCGCGCAGGCGGACGCCGGCGGACCCGCCCUUAGCCCUGGACGCGCUGCCGCCGGAGCUGCUGGUGCAGGUGCUGAGCCACCUGCCGCCGCGCACGCUGGUGACGCGCUGCCGCGCCGUGUGCCGCGCGUGGCGCGCCGUGGUGGACGGGCCCUCGGUGUGGCUGCUGCAGCUGGCCCGCGACCGCAGCGCCGAGGGCCGCGCGCUCUACGCCGCCGCCCAGCGCUGCCCGCCCAGCGGCGAGGACGCGGAGGACCUGCCGCUGUGCGCCCUGGCGCGCUACUGCCUGCGGGCGCCGCUCCGCCGGAACCUCAUCUUCAACUCCUGCGGAGAGCAGGGCUUCAGAGGCUGGGAGGUGGAACACGGCGGGAACGGCUGGGCCAUAGAAAAGAACCUGACCCUGGUGCCGGGCGCUCCUUCCCAGACCUGUUUCGUGACUUCUUUCGAGAGCUUCCCAUUCACUGACCCAACAGGAAAGAGAGGAUGGUGCUUCAAGAGGCAGCUUGUGGACUUGGUGAUGGAGGGGGUGUGGCAGGAGCUGCUGGACAGCGCCCAGAUUGAGAUCUGUGUGGCUGACUGGUGGGGCGCCCGAGAGAACUGCGGCUGCAUCUACCGGCUCCGGGUCCGCCUCCUGGACGUGUACGAAAAUGAAGUGGUCAAGUUCUCGGCCUCACCCAACCCGGUCCUGCAGUGGACUGAGAGAGGCUACCGACAGCAGUGAGAAAAUUAAGGUGCAGGCCGUCAAGUGACUAGCCCAAAAUCAGACUAAGGUGUGCAGGGUCUGAUUCAAGCCCAGAAUGACACCCAAGCCCAUGCUGUCAAAAUCAUCACAUCUCAGUUAUCAAAGUAGACUUUCAGGUGGUCAUUUCCACUCCUGAUCUCCCACCACCGAACAGACUCACCAUCCAGAAAGAUCCCAAUACGAAGUCUCCCACGUCUUCACCAACUUUGGCAAAGGCAUCCGAUACGUGUCUUUUGAGCAGUACGGGAGAGACACACGCUCCUGGGUGGGACACUAUGGUGCCCUCGUGACCCACUCCACCGUGAGAGUCAGGAUCCACUUGUC